rnacentral:lncRNA from 1 species
UCCAAGAGGAAGUGUGACCUGUGUUGGUGAUGAUCCUUACCUUUCUUCAUUUUGGUUUUCUUGUGGUGCAUUCUGGGCAAACUCAAGCACUGAGAGUCCUCACCAGCCCUUUAUCUUUCUCCUUUGUGAAGUGUUCCUCUUCUGUUGCAUUGUGGAUGAACGGGGGCCAGGAAAUAGAGGAAACAAACAGACAUUCGGAGAAAAAAAGGAAAGAAAAGAAGAUACAAUGAAAACAAACAAAUCUGAAUGGGACAAAACCACAAACAAACAAAUAAAUGAAGAGCCAAAUAAAAAGCACAAGAAACACAAAUAGAUCCAGAAACACACACACUGGCAUUCAGGGAAAUCUCAUAAAAAUGCAAAAUUAGAAUUCAUAAUACACAAGCAAAAGCCCUACAAGGUAAGAAAAAGAGAGGAAGGAAGGACGAGGGAUGAGAGCGAGAAAGAAGGGAGCCUUAGGAAUGGUUUUGUUCUCAGUUAGACUCUGAUGGAGAAACCUAAUUUGUCCUUUGUGAAUGGUUAUCAAUUAGAGAUAACUUCUGGGAGAGGGGGCGGGGCUCAUGUCCACUUCCCGUUUCAGCACUGGGACCCCAUCAGGAUGAGUCCUGUGUAUGCUGCCAUUUUUACUAUAGUUAUCUGACUGAUCCAUGAGUAUAGGAGGCCUUUCCAACUUCUAAUAUCUUCUUCAGUUUCUUAAAGUUUUUAUAAUACA